rnacentral:rRNA from 1 species
GCGCAAUGGGGGAAACCCUGACGCAGCAACGCCGCGUGAGUGAUGAAGGCCUUCGGGUCGUAAAGCUCUGUCAGAGGGGAAGAAAUGCAGGGGUGCUAAUAUCAUCUUUGCUUGACGGUACCCUCAAAGGAAGCACCGGCUAACUCCGUGCCAGCAGCCGCGGUAAUACGGAGGGUGCGAGCGUUGUUCGGAAUUAUUGGGCGUAAAGCGCGUGUAGGCGGUUUGGUAAGUCUGAUGUGAAAGCCCCGGGCUCAACCUGGGAAGUGCAUUGGAAACUGUCAGACUUGAAUACGGGAGAGGGUAGUGGAAUUCCUAGUGUAGGAGUGAAAUCCGUAGAUAUUAGGAGGAACACCGGUGGCGAAGGCGGCUACCUGGACCGAUAUUGACGCUGAGACGCGAAAGCGUGGGGAGCAAACAGGAUUAGAUACCCUGGUAGUCCACGCCGUAAACGAUGAGUACUAGGUGUUGCGGGUAUUGACCCCUGCAGUGCCGCAGCUAACGCAUUAAGUACUCCGCCUGGGAAGUACGGUCGCAAGACUAAAACUCAAAUGAAUUGACGG